GACGAACGCUGGCGGCGUGCUUAACACAUGCAAGUCGAACGAAGAGCGAUGGAAGCUUGCUUCUAUCAAUCUUAGUGGCGAACGGGUGAGGAACGCGUAAUCAACCUGCCCUUCAGAGGGGGACAACAGUUGGAAACGACUGCUAAUACCGCAUACGAUCUAAUCUCGGCAUCGAGGAUAGAUGAAAGGUGGCCUCUACAUGUAAGCUAUCACUGAAGGAGGGGAUUGCGUCUGAUUAGCUAGUUGGAGGGGUAACGGCCCACCAAGGCGAUGAUCAGUAGCCGGUCUGAGAGGAUGAACGGCCACAUUGGGACUGAGACACGGCCCAGACUCCUACGGGAGGCAGCAGUGGGGAAUCUUCCGCAAUGGACGAAAGUCUGACGGAGCAACGCCGCGUGAGUGAUGACGGCCUUCGGGUUGUAAAGCUCUGUUAAUCGGGACGAAAGGCCUUCUUGCGAAUAGUGAGAAGGAUUGACGGUACCGGAAUAGAAAGCCACGGCUAACUACGUG
rnacentral:rRNA from 1 species